GCUGGGCGCAGUGGCACGUGCCUGUAGUCCCAGCUAUGCGGCAGGCUGAGGCUGGAGGAUUGCUCGUGCCCAGGAGUUCUGGGCUGUGGUGUGCUGUGCCCAUCGGGUGUCCACACUAAGUUCGGCAUCAAUAUGGUGACCUCCCGGGAGCAGGGGACCACCAGGUUGCCUAAGGACAGGUGAACCGGCCCAGGUUGAAAUGGAGCAGGUCAAAACUCCCGUGCUGAUCAGUAGUGGGAUUGCGCCUGUGAAUAGCCACUGCACUCCAGCCUGGGCAACAUAGCGAGACCCGUCUCU
rnacentral:SRP_RNA from 1 species